GGGGCCUUAGCUCAAUUGGCAGAGCAGCGGACUUUUAAUCCGCGGGUUCAGGGUUCGAUCCCCUGGGGCCCUACCA
rnacentral:tRNA from 3 species